rnacentral:rRNA from 1 species
AUUGAACGCUGGCGGCAUGCCUUACACAUGCAAGUCGAACGGUAACAGGUCUUCGGAUGCUGACGAGUGGCGAACGGGUGAGUAAUACAUCGGAACGUGCCUAGUAGUGGGGGAUAACUACUCGAAAGAGUGGCUAAUACCGCAUGAGAUCUACGGAUGAAAGCAGGGGAUCGCAAGACCUUGUGCUACUAGAGCGGCCGAUGGCAGAUUAGGUAGUUGGUGGGAUAAAAGCUUACCAAGCCGACGAUCUGUAGCUGGUCUGAGAGGACGAUCAGCCACACGGGGACUGGGACGCGGCCCAGACUCCUACGGGAGGCAGCAGUGGGGAAUUUUGGACAAUGGGCGCAAGCCUGAUCCAGCAAUGCCGCGUGCAGGAUGAAGGCCUUCGGGUUGUAAACUGCUUUUGUACGGAACGAAAAGCCCUGGGUUAAUACCCUGGGGUCAUGACGGUACCGUAAGAAUAAGCACCGGCUAACUACGUGCCAGCCGCCGCCGUAA